AUUGAACGCUGGCGGAAUGCUUUACACAUGCAAGUCGAACGGCAGCACGGGAGCUUGCUCCUGGUGGCGAGUGGCGAACGGGUGAGUAAUGCAUCGGAACGUACCUAUUAGUGGGGGAUAACUAUCCGAAAGGAUAGCUAAUACCGCAUACGUCCUGAGGGAGAAAGCGGGGGAUCGCAAGACCUCGCGCUAAUAGAGCGGCCGAUGUUGGAUUAGCUAGUUGGUGGGGCAAAGGCCUACCAAGGCGACGAUCCAUAGCUGGUCUGAGAGGAUGAUCAGCCACACUGGGACUGAGACACGGCCCAGACUCCUACGGGAGGCAGCAGUGGGGAAUUUUGGACAAUGGGGGCAACCCUGAUCCAGCCAUUCCGCGUGAGUGAAGAAGGCCUUCGGGUUGUAAAGCUCUUUCGGCAGGAACGAAACGGUGGUUACUAAUACUAGCUACUAAUGACGGUACCUGAAGAAGAAGCACUGGCUAACUACGUGCCAGCCGCCGCGGUAA
rnacentral:rRNA from 1 species